rnacentral:tRNA from 1 species
GGGAGGGUGGUCUAGCUUGGUAUGAUUCUAUAAGGGCUUCCAGCCCGGUAUUGGUCGGGGGUUCGAAUCCCCCCUCUCCCA